rnacentral:rRNA from 1 species
GGAUGAACGUUGGCGGCGUGCCUAAUACAUGCAAGUCGAACGAAGACUGUAGUAAUACUGUCUUAGUGGCGAACGGGUGAGUAACGCGUGGGUGACCUGCCCCGAAGUGUGGGAUAACAGUCCGAAAGGAUUGCUAAUACUGCAUAAUAUCCAAGAGAUUAGAUGCUUUUGGAUUAAAGGAGUAAUUCGCUUCGGGAGGGGCCCGCGUCCCAUCAGCUAGUUGGUAAGGUAAUGGCUUACCAAGGCGAUGACGGGUAGGGGACCUGAGAGGGUGGCCCCCCACAAUGGAACUGAAACACGGUCCAUACACCUACGGGUGGCAGCAGUAGGGAAUAUUAGUAAUGGGCGAAAGCCUGAACUAGCAACGCCGCGUGUGCGAAGAAGGCCUUCGGGUCGUAAAGCACUUUUUGAGAGGAUGAGGAAGGACGGUACUCUCAGAAUAAGUCUCGGCUAACUACGUGCCAGCAGCCGCGGUAACACGUAGGAGGCAAACGUUAUCCGGAUUUACUGGGCGUAAAGCGCGUGUAGGUGGUUUGGUAAGUAGGGCGUGAAAGCUCCUGGCUCAACUGGGAGAGGACGUUCUAAACUGCCAAGCUUGAGGAUGGUAGAGGGAGGUGGAAUUCCGGGUGUAGCGGUGGAAUGCGCAGAUAUCCGGAGGAACACCAGUGGCGAAGGCGGCCUCCUGGACCACUCCUGACACUCAGACGCGAAAGCUAGGGUAGCAAACGGGAUUAGAGACCCCGGUAGUCCUAGCCCUAAACGAUGUAGACUUGGCGUCGGUGGUUUAAUCGCCAUCGGUGUCGUAGCUAACGCGAUAAGUCUACCGCCUGGGGACUACGGCCGCAAGGUUAAAACUCAAAGGAAUUGACGGGUCCCCGCACAAGCAGCGGAGCGUGUGGUUUAAUUCGAUGCUACACGAAGAACCUUACCUGGGUUUGACAUAGAGGUAGUAGGGAAGCGAAAGCGGACCGACCCUUCGGGGAGCCUCUACAGGUGUUGCAUGGCUGUUGUCAGCUCGUGUCGUGAGAUGUUCGGUUAAGUCCGGCAACGAGCGCAACCCACACUCUAGUUGCCAUCAUUCAGUUGGGCACUCUAGGAGAACUGCCGGUGAUAAGCCGGAGGAAGGUGUGGAUGACGUCAAGUCCUCAUGGCCCUUACGGGUUGGGCUACACACGUGCUACAAUGGUGGUGACAAUGGGUUAAUCCCAAAAAGCCAUCUCAGUUCGGAUUGGGGUCUGCAACUCGACCCCAUGAAGUCGGAAUCGCUAGUAAUCGCGUAACAGCAUGACGCGGUGAAUACGUUCCCGGGCCU